rnacentral:rRNA from 1 species
GAUGAACGCUGGCGGCGUGCCUAAUACAUGCAAGUCGAGCGAACGGACGAGAAGCUUGCUUGUCUGAUGUUAGCGGCGGACGGGUGAGUAACACGUUGAUAACCUACCUAUAAGACUGGGAUAACUUCGGGAAACCGGAGCUAAUACCGGAUAAUAUUUUGAACCGCAUGGUUCAAGAGUGAAAGACGGUCUUGCUGUCACUUAUAGAUGGAUCCGCGCUGCAUUAGCUAGUUGGUAAGGUAACGGCUUACCAAGGCAACGAUGCAUAGCCGACCUGAGAGGGUGAUCGGCCACACUGGAACGGAGACACGGUCCAGACUCCUACGGGAGGCAGCAGUAGGGAAUCUGCCGCAAUGGGCGAAAGCCUGACGGAGCAACGCCGCGUGAGUGAUGAAGGUCUUCGGAUCGUAAAACUCUGUUAUUAGGGAAGAACAUAUGUGUAAGUAACUGUGCACAUCUUGACGGUACCUAAUCAGAAAGCCACGGCUAACUACGUG